AGCGAACGCUGGCGGCAGGCUUAACACAUGCAAGUCGAACGGGCGUAGCAAUACGUCAGUGGCAGACGGGUGAGUAACACGUGGGAACGUACCCUUUGGUUCGGAACAACACAGGGAAACUUGUGCUAAUACCGGAUAAGCCCUUACGGGGAAAGAUUUAUCGCCGAAGGAUCGGCCCGCGUCUGAUUAGCUUGUUGGUGAGGUAAUGGCUCACCAAGGCGACGAUCAGUAGCUGGUCUGAGAGGAUGAUCAGCCACACUGGGACUGAGACACGGCCCAGACUCCUACGGGAGGCAGCAGUGGGGAAUAUUGGACAAUGGGCGCAAGCCUGAUCCAGCCAUGCCGCGUGAGUGAUGAAGGCCCUAGGGUUGUAAAGCUCUUUUGGCGGGGAAGAUAAUGACGGUACCGCAGAAUAAGCCCCGGCUAACUUCGUGCCAGCAGCCGCGGUAAU
rnacentral:rRNA from 1 species